AACGAACGCUGGCGGUAUGCCUAACACAUGCAAGUCGAACGACACCUUCGGGACUAGUGGCGCACACGUGCGUAACGCGUGGGAACGUGCCCUUAGGUUCGGAAUAAUUCCCUGUCGGGGGUGCUAAUACCGGGUAAUUUAUUCGGACCAAGCAUUUGUCGCCUUAGGGUGGGCCGGGGUUGGUUGAGCUAGUUGGUAGGGUAAAAGCCUACCACGGCGACGAUACAUAGCUGGUCUGAGAGGAUGAUCAGCCACACUGGGACUCAGACACGGCCCAGACUCCUACGCGAGGGAGCAGUGGGGAAUAUUGGACAAUGGGCGAAAGCCUGAUCCAGCAAUGCCGCGUGAGUGAUGAAGGCCGUAGGGUAGUAAAGCUCUUUUACCCGGGAUGAUAAUGACAGUACCGGGAGAAUAAGCUCCGGCUAACUCCGUG
rnacentral:rRNA from 1 species